CGCGUAGGCGGAGCGCUAAGCGGGACCUCUAACCCGAGGGCUCAACCCCCGGCCGGGUCCCGAACUGGCGCUCUCGAGUGCGGUAGGGGAGAGCGGAAUUCCCGGUGUAGCGGUGGAAUGCGCAGAUAUCGGGAAGAACACCGACGGCGAAGGCAGCUCUCUGGGCCGAAACUGACGCUGAGGCGCGAAAGCUGGGGGAGCGAACA
rnacentral:rRNA from 1 species